rnacentral:rRNA from 1 species
UACGUAGGGUGCAAGCGUUGUCCGGAAUUAUUGGGCGUAAAGAGCUCGUAGGCGGUUUGUCGCGUCUGCUGUGAAAACCCGAGGCCCAACCUCGGGCCUGCAGUGGGUACGGGCAGACUAGAGUGCGGUAGGGGAGAUUGGAAUUCCUGGUGUAGCGGUGGAAUGCGCAGAUAUCAGGAGGAACACCAAUGGCGAAGGCAGAUCUCUGGGCCGUAACUGACGCUGAGGAGCGAAAGCAUGGGGAGCGAACAGG